rnacentral:rRNA from 1 species
AUUGAACGCUGGCGGCAUGCCUUACACAUGCAAGUCGAACGGCAGCGGGGGAGAAGCUUGCUUUUCCUGCCGGCGAGUGGCGAACGGGUGAGUAAUACAUCGGAACGUACCCUGUUGUGGGGGAUAACUAGUCGAAAGAUUAGCUAAUACCGCAUACGACCUGAGGGUGAAAGUGGGGGACCGCAAGGCCUCACGCAGCAGGAGCGGCCGAUGUCUGAUUAGCUAGUUGGUGGGGUAAAGGCCCACCAAGGCGACGAUCAGUAGCUGGUCUGAGAGGACGAUCAGCCACACUGGGACUGAGACACGGCCCAGACUCCUACGGGAGGCAGCAGUGGGGAAUUUUGGACAAUGGGGGCAACCCUGAUCCAGCAAUGCCGCGUGUGUGAAGAAGGCCUUCGGGUUGUAAAGCACUUUUGUCCGGAAAGAAAUCGCGCUGGUUAAUACCUGGCGUGGAUGACGGUACCGGAAGAAUAAGCACCGGCUAACUACGUGCCAGCCGCCGCAGUAA